rnacentral:rRNA from 1 species
GACGAAGGGGGCUAGCGUUGUUCGGAAUUACUGGGCGUAAAGCGCGUGUAGGCGGUUGCCCAAGUCGGGUGUGAAAGCCUUGAGCUCAACUCAAGAAAUGCACUCGGUACUGGGUGACUAGAGGACCGGAGAGGAUAGUGGAAUUCCCAGUGUAGUGGUGAAAUACGUAGAGAUUGGGAAGAACACCAGUGGCGAAGGCGGCUAUCUGGACGGUUUCUGACGCUAAGACGCAAAAGCGUGGGGAGCAAACAGG